CAGAAAUUUGGAAUUUUGGAAAAAGGAAAAAAAAAAAAAAUAAAAAAUAAAAAAAUAUAUUUUACUUACAGCAUUCAUAAUGUAUCUUGCAGGAUUUAUUUAUUCAAAUAUUUGCGUACAGGCAUUAACUUAGAGGUAGAUACAUGUAGUUAUAAACAUCGACUAAAACAUCAAGCAUAUAUAUAUAUAUAUAAACCAACAUAUAACAGUAUCAAAUCAUUAAACAUAGGUGGUGAUGUGGAUAAGGAAAGAAAUGUACAUAAAAAUAAUUCUGGUACAUGAUGUACCAAUUUUUUGAUAAUCAACCUAGUCUUCUAAAAUUGGAAGCCAGGGGUCC
rnacentral:lncRNA from 1 species